rfam:Gossypium raimondii Chr02_contig_478, whole genome shotgun sequence.
AAUGGGAGAAUGACAAAUCAGAUUUUUUUUCCUGAUUUUUAGCUUUUUCUUCUUGAAAAAAUUCAAAUCCAACUAAAACUACUAAAAAUUAGGAGAGAAAAAAUAUGAUUUGUCAUUCUCCAAUU